AGCGAACGUUAGCGGCGCGCCUAACACAUGCAAGUCGCACGAGAAAGGGCCUCGGCCCCGGUACAGUGGCGCACGGGUGAGUAACACGUGGGUAACCUUCCCCGGAGUGGUGGAUAACCUGCCGAAAGGCGGGCUAAUACAGCAUACGACCGUUGGUCUUCGGACUGGCGGUGAAAGCAGGCCUCUAUAUAUAAGCUUGCACCUGAGGACGAGUCCGCGGCCCAUCAGCUAGUUGGUAGGGAACGGCCUACCAAGGCUAAGACGGGUAGCUGGUCUGAGAGGAUGAUCAGCCACACUGGAACUGAGACACGGUCCAGACUCCUACGGGAGGCAGCAGUGGGGAAUCUUGCGCAAUGGGCGAAAGCCUGACGCAGCGACGCCGCGUGCGGGAUGACGGCCU
rnacentral:rRNA from 1 species